rnacentral:rRNA from 1 species
GAUGAACGCUGGCGGCGUGCCUAAUACAUGCAAGUCGAGCGAACGGACGAGAAGCUUGCUUCUCUGAUGUUAGCGGCGGACGGGUGAGUAACACGUGGAUAACCUACCUAUAAGACUGGGAUAACUUCGGGAAACCGUAGCUAAUACCGGAUAAUAUUUUGAACCGCAUGGUUCAAAAGUGAAAGACGGUCUUGCUGGCACUUAUAGAUGGAUCCGCGCUGCAUUAGCUAGUUGGUAAGGUAACGGCUUACCAAGGCAACGAUGCAUAGCCGACCUGAGAGGGUGAUCGGCCACACGGGAACUGAGACACGGUCCAGACUCCUACGGGACGCAGCAGUAGGGAAUCGUCGGCAGUGGGCGAAAGCCUGACGGAGCAGCGCCGAGUGAGUGAUGGAGGUCUUCGGAUCGUAAAAAUCUGUUAUUAGGGAAGAACAUAUGUGUAAGUAACUGUGCACAUAGUGACGGUACCUAAUCAGAAAGCAACGGCUAACUACGUG